rnacentral:rRNA from 1 species
UUAAAAUAAAUUUAUUAAAAAUAAUUAAAAAAAAUAAUUAUAAUUUAAGUAUCUUUUAGAGAAAAAAUAAUCUUUAUGAUAGUAAAAAGUAUUGAGAAAGAAAAUUGAAAUAAUUGAAAAUUACUUAAAUUAAAAGAAAUUUUUAUUUAUUGUACCUUGGGUAUCAGGGAUUAUUAAAUAAUUAAUAAUAAUUUUUAUUAAUUUCGAAAUAAAGAGAUUUAAUUUAAUAUUAAUUUUUAUUGUAGUAAAAUUAUUUUUUAUAUUAAAUUGGAAUUGAAAAAUUAAUCGGGCUUUAUUAUAUCUAAUUUUUUAAGGAAUAAAUUUAAUUUAAUUUAUUAUUUAUAUUGAAUUAUUUUUUUAAUUUAAUAAUAGGUAAUAAUUUAAAUAUUAAGGGAUAAGCUUUAAUAUUAAUAUUAUAAAAUAAAUAAAAUAUUUAUAAUUUAUAUAUUCUUAGAAAUAGAAAUUAUUAAUUUGUAUGUUAUAAUUUAAUAUUAAAAUAUAAUAAUAUUUAUUUUUUUUUAAUUAUAUAUUAAAAUGUUUAAUUUAAUAAAAGAAAUUAAAGUAAUAAUGAUAAUAUUAGUAUAAUUUGAAUGUUUUAAUAUAAUUUAUUUUAAAAAUAAUUAUAAGGAACUCGGCAAAUUUAAUGUUCGCCUGUUUAAUAAAAACAUGUCUUUUAGAUAAUUAAUUUAAGGUUUAAUCUGCCCACUGAAUAAUAUUGAAGGGCCGCAGUAUAUUAACUGUGCAAAGGUAGCAUAAUCAUUAGUUUUUUAAUUGAAAGCUAGAAUGAAUGAUUGGACGAAAUAUUAACUGUUUUAUUUUUAUUUAAAUAGAAUUUUAUUUUUUAAUUAAAAAGUUAAAAUAUUGUAAAAAGACGAGAAGACCCUAUAGAUCUUUAUAUAUAAAGUAUUUUAGUAAAAAUUAGUUAAAGAUUAUUUUAAAUUAUUUUUAUAUUAUAUUGGGGUAAUAAUAAAAUUUAUUUAAUUUUUAAUUAUUUUAUACAAUAAUAAUUGAUUUUUUGAUCCGAUAAUUAUCGAUUGUAAAGUUAAGUUACCUUAGGGAUAACAGCGUAAUGAUUUUUGAGAGUUCUUAUCGAUAAAAUAGUUUGUGACCUCGAUGUUGAAUUAAAAUUUAUUUUAGAUGCAGAGGUUUAAUUAAUAAGGUCUGUUCGACCUUUAAUAUUUUACAUGAUUUGAGUUUAGACCGGCGUGAGCCAGGUCAGUUUCUAUCUUUUAUAAAAUGAAAUAUAUUUUAGUACGAAAGGAUUAAAUAUAUAAUAAAUUUUAUUAAUAAAUUAGAAUAAUAAUAAAGGAGUAGUAAUAA